rnacentral:rRNA from 1 species
AUUGAACGCUGGCGGCAUGGUUAAAGCAUGCAAGUCGAACGCGAACCACCUUCGGGUGGGGAAAGUGGCGAAAGGGCGAGGAAUACGAUCGAAUGUGCCCCGAGGUGGGGGAUAGCGUCGAGAAAUCGGCGGUAAUACCCCAUGUGCUCUACGGAGGAAAGGUUUACCGCCUUGGGAGCAGCGAUCGUCCUAUCAGGGUAGUUGGUGGGGUAAUGGCCUACCAAGCCGAAGACGGGUAGCGGGUGUGAGAGCAUGACCCGCCGCAUCGGAACUGAGACACUGUCCGGACUCCUACGGGAGGCUGCAGCGACGAAUAUUCCGCAAUGGGCGAAAGCCUGACGGAGCAAUGCCGCGUGUGGGAUGAAGCGCCUUCGGCGUGUAACCACUGUCAGGUCCUAGGAACACUGACCAGGACCAGAGGAAGGGCCGGCUAACCUCGUG